UCGGUGGUGGAUUAGUGGCGAACGGGUGAGUAACACGUGGGCAAUCUGCGCUUCACUCUGGGACAAGCCCUGGAAACGGGGUCUAAUACCGGAUAAUACUCCUGCCUGCAUGGGUGGGGGUUGAAAGCUCCGGCGGUGAAGGAUGAGCCCGCGGCCUAUCAGCUUGUUGGUGGGGUAAUGGCCUACCAAGGCGACGACGGGUAGCCGGCCUGAGAGGGCGACCGGCCACACUGGGACUGAGACACGGCCCAGACUCCUACGGGAGGCAGCAGUGGGGAAUAUUGCACAAUGGGCGAAAGCCUGAUGCAGCGACGCCGCGUGAGGGAUGACGGCCUUCGGGUUGUAACCCUCUUUCAGCAGGGAAGAAGCGCAAGUGACGGUACCUGCAGAAGAAGCGCCGGCUAACUACGUGCCAGCAGCCGCGGUAAUACGUAGGGCGCAAGCGUUGUCCGGAAUUAUUGGGCGUAAAGAGCUCGUAGGCGGCUUGUCACGUCGGAUGUGAAAGCCCGGGGCUUAACCCCGGGUCUGCAUUCGAUACGGGCUAGCUAGAGUGUGGUAGGGGAGAUCGGAAUUCCUGGUGUAGCGGUGAAAUGCGCAGAUAUCAGCAGGAACACCGGUGGCGAAGGCGGAUCUCUGGGCCAUUACUGACGCUGAGGAGCGAAAGCGUGGGGGAGCGAACAGGAUUAGAUACCCUGGUAGUCCACGCCGUAAACGUUGGGAACUAGGUGUUGGCGACAUUCCACGUCGUCGGUGCCGCAGCUAACGCAUUAAGUUCCCCGCCUGGGGGAGUACGGGCGCAAGGCUAAAACUCAAAGGAAUUGAACGGGGGCCUCGCACAAGCAGCGGAGCAUGUGGCUUAAUUAGACGCAACGCGAAGAACCUUACCAAGGCUUGACAUAUUCCGGAAAGCAUCAGAGAUGGUGCCCCCCUUGUGGUCGGUAUACAGGUGGUGCAUGGCUGUCGUCAGCUCGUGUCGUGAGAUGUUGGGUUAAGUCCCGCAACGAGCGCAACCCUUGUUCUGUGUUGCCAGCAUGCCUUUCGGGGUGAUGGGGACUCACAGGAGACUGCCGGGGUCAACUCGGAGGAAGGUGGGGACGACGUCAAGUCAUCAUUCCCCUUAUGUCUUGGGCUGCACACGUGCUACAAUGGCCGGUACAAUGAGCUGCGAUGCCGUGAGGCGGAGCGAAUCUCAAAAAGCCGGUCUCAGUUCGGAUUGGGGUCUGCAACUCGACCCCAUGAAGUCGGAGUUGCUAGUAAUCGCAGAUCAGCAUUGCUGCGGUGAAU
rnacentral:rRNA from 1 species